ACAUGCUUAAAUUUUGACUUCCAAAUUUAGCCAGGCAGGGCAACUAGAUAAAGCUUUAGGAACUUUAGAUGCUAUGCCCAUCAAAGCCAGUUCAACGCUCUGGGGAUCACUUCUUCUGGCAUGUCAAAUCCAUCGAAAUGUGUCUCUUGCAGAAACCGCUGUAGAGAGAUUUGUGGAACUGGAAGCUGAUGGCUCAGGGGUCUAUGUUCUUUAGUCAAACACGUAUGCAGAUGCAGGAAUGUGGGAGGAUGCACUGAAAGCACGUAGACUGAUGGAGGACAGAGAAUUGAAGAAGCAAGCUGGAAGUUGUAUAAUCGAGGAUGUUUGAACGUGAAAAUCCUGAGAAUAAAAUUCUUAGCAUGGACACCGAGAAAUAGACUAUUUUGGGAGCUCAAGCCAAAAUCCAUGAGUGCGACCAAACUUCUACAACUCUCUUAACAGAUUGGCUUGGGUCUAUUUUGCUGGAAGCUGAGGGAUAGAAAUAAGAGUUCUCAAAUGCUAAGCAGAGAGAUCGGUCUUACCAAUUGAUAUUGUUGUGAUGUGACAUGAACUUUAAUCCUAAUUAAGGAUGUAUAAUCAAAUUCUCAUGAAUUUAGGAUUGGUUUGGUCUAGCAAUGAAAAACUCAUAAGACAUAUAUUCUCUAUAAA